rnacentral:rRNA from 1 species
ACGCACGCUGGCGGCGUGCUUAACACAUGCCAGUCGCACGGAAAGGCCCUGCUUUUGUGGGGUGCUCGAGUGGCGAACGGGUGAGUAACACGUGAGUAACCUGCCCUUGACUUUGGGAUAACUUCAGGAAACUGGGGCUAAUACCGGAUAGGAGCUCCUGCUGCAUGGUGGGGGUUGGAAAGUUUCGGCGGUUGGGGAUAGACUCGCGGCUUAUCAGCUUGUUGGUGGGGUAGUGGCUUACCAAGGCUUUGACGGGUAGCCGGCCUGAGAGGGUGACCGGCCACAUUGGGACUGAGAUACGGCCCAGACUCCUACGGGAGGCAGCAGUGGGGAAUAUUGCACAAUGGGCGGAAGCCUGAUGCAGCAACGCCGCGUGCGGGAUGACGGCCUUCGGGUUGUAAACCGCUUUCGCCUGUGACGAAGCGUGAGUGACGGUAAUGGGUAAAGAAGCACCGGCUAACUACGUG